CUACGGAGGGGGCUAGCGUUGUUCGGAAUUACUGGGCGUAAAGCGUACGUAGGCGGACUGAUCAGUUGGGGGUGAAAUCCCAGGGCUUAACCCUGGAACUGCCUUCAAUACUGUCAGUCUCGAGUUUGGGAGAGGUGAGUGGAAUUCCUAGUGUAGAGGUGAAAUUCAUAGAUAUUAGGAGGAACACCAGUGGCGAAGGCGGCUCACUGGCCCAUUACUGACGCUGAGGUACGAAAGCGUGGGGAGCAAACAGGAUUAGAAACCCUAGUAGUCC
rnacentral:rRNA from 1 species